AUUGAACGCUAGCGGCAUGCCUAACACAUGCAAGUCGAACGAGCGGCGGACGGGUGAGUAAUAUAUGGGGAUCUGCCUGAUAGAGGGGGAUAACUACUGGAAACGGUAGCUAAUACCGCAUACCAUCAGAUCAGCCCAUAUGGGAUUAGCUUGUAGGUAGGGUAACGGCUAACCUAGGCGACGAUCCCUAGCUGGUCUGAGAGGAUGAACAGCCACCCUGGGACUGAGACACGGCCCAGAUUCCUACGGGAGGCAGCAGUGGGGAAUAUUGGACAAUGGGCGCAAGCCUGAUGCAGCCAUGCCGCGUGUAUGAAGAAGGCCUUCGGGUUGUAAAGUACUUUCAGCCGGGAGGCGUUACCGACAGAAGAAGCACCGGCUAACUACGUGCCAGCAGCCGCGGUAAUUC
rnacentral:rRNA from 1 species